rnacentral:rRNA from 1 species
GAUGAACGCUAGCGGCAGGCCUAAUACAUGCAAGUCGAACGGUGUCUUCGGACAUAGUGGCGCACGGGUGCGUAACACGUAUGCAACCUACCUUACAUUGGGGGAUAGCCUUUCGAAAGGGAGAUUAAUACCGCAUAAGACAGUAGCUGGGCAUCCAGCAGCUGUUAAAGAUUUAUCGAUGUAAGCUGGGCAUGCGUCCAAUUAGCUAGUUGGUGAGGUAACGGCUCACCAAGGCAAUGAUUGGUAGGGGAACUGAGAGGUCAAUCCCCCACACUGGGACUGAGACACGGCCCAGACUCCUACGGGAGGCAGCAGUGGGGAAUUUUGGACAAUGGGCGCAAGCCUGAUCCAGCAAUGCCGCGUGCAGGAAGAAGGCCUUCGGGUUGUAAACUGCUUUUGUCAGGGAAGAAAUCUUCUGGGCUAAUACCCCGGGAGGAUGACGGUACCUGAAGAAUAAGCACCGGCUAACUACGUGCCAGCCGCCGCGGUAACAC